rnacentral:rRNA from 1 species
UACGGAGGGUGCGAGCGUUGUCCGGAAUCACUGGGCGUAAAGGGCGCGUAGGCGGCCUGAUAAGUAGGGGGGUGAAAUCCUGCGGCUUAACCGCAGGGCUGCCUUCUAAACUGUCAGGCUAGAGCACGGUAGAGGCAGAUGGAAUUCCCGGUGUAGCGGUGGAAUGCGUAGAGAUCGGGAAGAACAUCAGUGGCGAAGGCGGUCUGCUGGGCCGUUGCUGACGCUGAGGCGCGACAGCAUGGGGGAGCAAACAGG